CCACAUCAUCAUCUCCUCCCCAAGUCUGUGGGAAGAGGAAGGGCCAAGAUGGGCACACCUGAGCCAUACCGAACCCAUUUCUUAUAGGCGCAGUGUGGAGCAGCUCUAACAGAUGGCUAGUGAGUUGCAAGUGUCCCUUAAGGAACAUAACAACUGUUGUGGCUGAUUUUUGCCAAACCGAAUGUCCCUAUUUCAGGCUUAGAGGAGAAUGUUACCAAGCUGAGAGGUCAAUGGCUCUACCCAUCAUGUUCCACUGACACUCCUGAGGUAUUACAGGUUUCCAGGUACAGGGAGGAAGACAAGGAAAUGGGGUAGGGAUGGUGGAUGGCACGCAAUAGGACCUCAGCCCUGACAGACAAAAUGUCACAAGAGGCUAGGACAUGAUUGGUAUUCCACCUCCGAAGGAGGACAAGGAAGCUUAAUGUUUGUCCCAGGGUCUUGGCCAUAUCUCUCUUUCUAGUGGCUCCAGUACCUGGCAAGCAGCAAGGACUGAGUGCAUGCUCCGAUGGAUGGAUGGAUGGAUGGAUGGAUGGAUGGAUGGAUGGAUGUUGGAUGGAUGGAUGGAUGGAUGAAUGGACAGAUGGAUAGAUGAGGUAUUGGCAGCUAGCAAGAGAGAAGGCAUUUAACACAAAGAUUAGUAAUGCAAAAAUAUAUAAGUGAGUGGAACAGAGAUCAUGGUGGAUACACACAGCUGUCUUUCAGCUCAGGAGAGCGAGCACCCAGUAAGCAAUAGAAAAGCAAAAAUAGAAGAAGAAAAAGAAGAAAAAAGCAGGCAAACAGAAACAGGGAAAUGUAAAACACAGAGACCGUUUGAACUCCGUCAGUUAUGAAACCAUAGUAAGUGGCUUGUGUUUGUGACAUCCUGGCCUUGUCUUCAGAAAUGUGUAAUGACUUCAGAAAUGCCUGCGGCUGACACGGGGUAGGGAAGUAAAUGAUCUGUAAAUACAUGUGUGUUAUUGCAUUUGUGAUAGCAGCUACAUCCUGAAUGUUUAGUACGGUCCUCCUAAAGGGGAAUUUAAGUGUGAUUUUUUUCACCUAACUUGUCUUUGUUUUACACAAUAAAUGUCUUUACUUUUACAGUUAUGAAAAAUAUUGGUGAGGGGGCUGGGAAAUGGCUCAUUGGUUACGAGCACCGGUUGCUCUUCCAGGGGUCCCAGGUUCUAUUCCCAGCACCUAAGAUGGCCGCUCCCAAAUGUUUGCAACUCCAGUUCCAGGAGAUCCAGUGCCCUGUUCUGACCCUCAAGGGCACAAGGUACACAGGUGGCACACAUACAUACGCACAGGCAAAAUAUCUAUAUGCAUAAAAAUAAAUCUUUUUAAAAAUGGU
rnacentral:lncRNA from 1 species